rnacentral:rRNA from 1 species
GCCGCGAAUUCGCCCUUAGGGUUUGAUCAUGGCUCAGGAUGAACGCUGGCGGCAUGCCUAAUACAUGCAAGUCAAACGGGGUGCUUGCACCCAGUGGCGAACGGGUGAGUAACACGUAUCUAAUCUACCUACUAGAGGGGGAUAACAGUUGGAAACGACUGCUAAUACCGCAUAAUAUUUUCGGUGGCAUCACUGAAAAUUGAAAGAUCCGCUUGGAUCACUAGUAGAUGAGGAUGCGGCGUAUUAGCUUGUUGGUGGGGUAAUGGCCUACCAAGGCGAUGAUACGUAGCCGACCUGAGAGGGUGAUCGGCCACAUCGGGACUGAGACACGGCCCGAACUUCUACGGAAGGCAGCAGUAGGGAAUUUUUCACAAUGGACGAAAGUCUGAUGGAGCAAUGCCGCGUGAUUGAAGACGGUCUUCGGAUUGUAAAGAUCUGUUGUAAGGGAAGAACAGCUAAUA